AUGACCCCAGGUCAGGCGGGACUACCAUCUGAGUUUAAGCAUAUAAAUAAGCGGAGGAGAAGAAACUUACAAGGAUUCCCCUAGUAAUGGCGAGCGAACCGGGAACAGCCCAGAUUGAGAAUCGGGCGGUUGUGCCGUCCGAAUUGUAGUAUGGAGAGGCGUCCUCAGCGACGGACUGGGCCCAAGUCCCGUGGAAAAGGACGCCUCGGAGGGUGGGAGCCCCGUCCGGCCCGGACCGUGUCACCCCAUGGCUAAAUACAGGCAAGAGACCGAUAGCGAACAAGUACCGCGAGGGAAAUAUGAGAAGGACUUUGAAAAGAGAGUCAAAGAGUGCUUGAAAUUGCCGGGAGGGAAGCGGAUGGGGGCUGGCGAUGCGCCCCGGCCGUAUGCGGGACGGCUCUUGCUGGUCUGCAGCUCACCUCGGGGUGUGGACUGUUGUCGGCCGCAUCGGCGGCCAAAUCCCGGGGGCCCUAGGUGCCUCCUGUUGCCGUCGUCGACACGGCCGGUACCCGCGCGCCGAAAGGCAUGUCCCUCGGGGCACUGCGCUGCAGCGGCCUGCGGGCUCGCCAUCCGACCCGUCUUGAAACACGGACCAAGGAGUCUGACAUGCGUGCUAGUCGACGGGUUCUGAAACCUGGGAUGCACAAGGAAGCUGAUGAGCGGGAGGCCCUCACGGGCCAUAUCGCUGGCCGACCCUGAUCUUCUGUGAAGGGUUCGAGUUGGAGCACCCCUGCUGGGACACGAAAGAUGGUGCACUAUGCCUGAGCGGGGCGAAGCCAGAGGAAACUCUGGUGGAGGCUCAAAGCCAUACUGACGUGCAAAUCGUUCGUCUGACUUGGGUAUAGGGGCGAAAGACUAAUCGAACCAUCUAGUAGCAGGUUCCCUCUGAAGUUUUCCUCAGGAUAGCUGGAGCCCAUUACGAGUUCUAUCAGGUAAAGCCAAUGAUUAGAGGCAUUGGGGACGCAAGGCCCUCGACCUAUUCUCAAACGUUAAAUAGGUAGGAUGGCUCGGCUGCUUCGGUGAGCCGUGCCACGGAGUCGGGUGCUCCAAGUGGGCCAUUUUUGGUAAGCAGAACUGGCGAUGCGGGAUGAACCGGAAGUCGGGUUACGGUGCCCAACUCCACGCUAACCUAGAACCACAAAGGGUGUUGGUCGAUUUAGACAGCAGGACGGUGGUCAUGGAAGUUAAAAUCCGCUAAGGAGUGUGUAACAACUCACCUGCCGAAUCAACUAGCCCCGAAAAUGGAUGGCGCUGAAGCGCGCGACCCACACCCGACCAUCUGGGCGAGCGCCAUGCCCCGAUGACUAGGAGAGCGCGGCGGCCGCUACAAAACCCAGGGCGCGAGCCCGGGCGGAGCGGCCGUCGGUGCAGAUCUUGGUGGUAGUUGAAAAUAUUCAAAAGAGAACUUUUAAGGCCAAAGAGGAGAAAGGGUCCAUGUGAACGGCACUUGCACAUGGGUAAGCCGAUCCUAACGGACGGGGUAACCCCGGCAGAUAGCACGAUCACGCGCAUCCCUCGAAAGGGAAUCGGGUUAAGAUUGCUUGAGCCGGGAUGUGGCGGUUGACGACGACGUUAGGAAGUUUGGAGACGUCGGCGGGUGCCUCGGGAAGAGUUAUCGUUUCUACUUGACGGCCUUCCAACCUAUGAAAUGGUUCAGCCGGAGGUAUUGUCCAGUGGCCGGAAGAGCACCGCACGACGCGCGGUGUCUGGUUUGCCCCCGGCGGCCCAUCAAAAUACGGAGGACCGAGUACCGUUCACGCCCGGUCGUACUCAUAAUCGCAUCAGGUCUCGAAGGUGAAUAGACUCUCGCCAAUGGAACAAUGUAGGCAUUGGAAGUCCGCAAAAUGGAUCCGUAACUUCGAGAAAAGGAUUGGCUCUCAGGACUGGGCACGGGGGUCCCGGCCCCGAACCCGUCGGCUGUCGGCGAAUUGCUCGAGGUGCUCACGCGGCAAGAGCGGGACGUCGCAUGCCGGCCGGGGAACGGACUGGGAAUCGCCCCUUCGGACGCUUUUCCCGAGCAUGAAACAGUCGACUCAAAACUAGUAUGGACAAGGGGAAUCAGACUAUUCAAUUAAAACAAAGCAUUGUGAUGGUCCUCGCGGAUGCUGACGCAAUGUGAUUUCUGCCUAGUGCUCUGAAUGUCAAAGUGAAGAAAUUCAACCAAGUGCGGGUAAACGGUGGUAGUAACUAUGAAUCUCUUAAGGUAGCCAAAUGCCUCAUGAUCUAAUUAGUGACGUGCAUGAAUGGAUUAACGAGAUUCCCACUGUCCCUAUCAACUAUACAGCUAAACCACAACCAAGGGAACGGUCUUGGCGGAAUCAGCGGGGAAAGAAGACCCGGUUGAGCUUGACUCUAGUCCGACUUUGUGAAAUGACUUUAGAGGUGUAGGAUAAGUGGGAGCCCUUACGGGUGCAAGUGAAAUACCACUACUUUUAACGUUAUUUUACUUAUUCCGUGGGUCAGAAGCGGGUCAUGUCCCCUCCUUUUGGCUGCAAGGCGCAGUUUUAUCGGGCUGAUCCGGGCGAAAGACAUUGUCAGGUGGGGAGUUUGGCUGGGACGACACAUCUGUUAAAAGAUAACGCAGGUGCCCUACCGAUCCUUUGAUUCUGAUUCUGAUUUCGAAAAGCUCAACAAGAACAUAAAUCUCGUGUGGAACAAAAGGGUAAAAGCUCGUUUGAUUCUGAUUUCCAAUACGAAUACAAACCGUGAAAGUGUGGCCUACCGAUCCUUUAGAUCUUCGAAGUUUGAAGCUAGAGGUGUUAGAAAAGUUACCACAGGGAUAACUGGCUUGUGGCAGCCAAGCGUUCAUAGCGACGUUGCUUUUUCAUCCUUCGAUGUCGGCUUUUCCUAUCAUUGUGAAGCAGAAUUCACCAAGUGUUGGAUUGUUCACCCACCAAUAGGGAAUGUGAGUUGGGUUUAGACCAUUGUGAGACAUGUUAUUUUUACCCUACUGAUGACAGUGACGCGAUAGUAAUUCAACCUGGUACGAGAGGAACCAUUGAUUCACACAAUUGGUCAUCGCGCUUGGUUGAAAAGCCACUGGCGCGAAGCUACCAUGUGCCGGAUUAUGACUGAGCGCCUCUAAGUCAGAAUCCAAGCUAGCAUGCGACGCGUGCGCCAGCCGCUCGCCCUAACCCACGUUAGGGGUGCUUGCACCCCCAAGGGCCCGUGCCAUUGGCAAGCCGGUCCAGCCGACGUGUCAUGAUCGGCCGCCUUGAAGCU
rnacentral:rRNA from 1 species